CUGGGGUACUCGAGUGGCGAACGGGUGAGUAACACGUGGGUGAUCUGCCUUGCACUCUGGGAUAAGCUUGGGAAACUGGGUCUAAUACCGGAUAGGAACCGUCUUUAGUGUGGUGGUUGGAAAGUUUUUCGGUGCAAGAUGAGCUCGCGGCCUAUCAGCUUGUUGGUGGGGUAAUGGCCUACCAAGGCGUCGACGGGUAGCCGGCCUGAGAGGGUGUACGGCCACAUUGGGACUGAGACACGGCCCAG
rnacentral:rRNA from 1 species